rnacentral:rRNA from 1 species
CUACGGGCUGCAGCAGUGAGGAAUAUUGCACAAUGGGGGGAACCCUGAUGGAGCAACGCCGCGUGGAGGAUGACGCAUUUCGGUGUGUAAACCCCUUUUAUAUGUCAAGAAAAUGACGGUAGCAUAUGAAUAAGCACCGGCUAACUCCGUGCCAGCAGCCGCGGUAAUACGGAGGGUGCAAGCGUUACUCGGAAUCACUGGGCGUAAAGGACGCGUAGGCGGGUUGGAAAGUCAGGUGUGAAAUCCUACAGCUUAACUGUAGAACUGCACUUGAAACUUCUAAUCUAGAGUAUGGGAGGGGGAGAUGGAAUUAGUGGUGUAGGGGUAAAAUCCGUAGAUAUCACUAGGAAUACCUAAAGCGAAGGCGAUCUCCUGGAACAUUACUGACGCUAAGGCGUGAAAGCGUGGGGAGCAAACAGGAUUAGAUACCCGGGUAGUC